GUAGUUAGCCGUCACUUGCUCGUCGAGUACCGUCAUUAUCGUCCUCGACAACAGAAGUUUACAAUCCGAAGACCUUCUUCCUUCACGCGGCGUUGCUGGGUCAGGCUUGCGCCCAUUGCCCAAUAUUCCCCACUGCUGCCUCCCGUAGGAGUCUGGACCGUGUCUCAGUUCCAGUGUGGCCGAUCAGCCUCUCAGCUCGGCUACCCAUCGUUGGCUAGGUGGGCCGUUACCCCGCCUACUACCUAAUGGGACGCGAACCCCUCCUUCUGCGGAUUGCUCCUUUGACCCCUGAGCCAUGCGACUCUGUGGUCUUAUGCGGUAUUAAUCUCCCUUUCGGGAGGCUAUUCCCCUCUAUGAGGCAGGUUGCCCACGUGUUACUCACCCGUCCGCCGCUAGAAAAGCCCCGAAGAACUUUUCUCGCUCGACUUGCAUGUGUUAAGCACGCCGCCAGCGUUCAUCCUGAGCCAUAAUCAAACUCUGA
rnacentral:rRNA from 1 species